rnacentral:rRNA from 1 species
UACGUAGGGUGCAAGCGUUAAUCGGAAUUACUGGGCGUAAAGCGUGCGCAGGCGGUGAUGUAAGACAGAUGUGAAAUCCCCAGGCUCAACCUGGGAACUGCAUUUGUGACUGCAUCGCUGGAGUGCGGCAGAGGGGGAUGGAAUUCCGCGUGUAGCAGUGAAAUGCGUAGAUAUGCGGAGGAACACCGAUGGCGAAGGCAAUCCCCUGGGCCUGCACUGACGCUCAUGCGCGAAAGCGUGGGAGCAAACAGG